rnacentral:rRNA from 1 species
GACGAACGCUGGCGGUGCGCUUCACACAUGCAAGUCGAACGAGAAGCCCGGGCUUGCCCGGGUGGACAGUGGCGAACGGGUGAGUAACACGUGAGCAGCCUGCCCCGAAGACCGGGAUAACACCGGGAAACCGGUGCUAAUACCGGAUGUCUUCGCCGGACCGCAUGAUCCGGCGAGGAAAUGGUCCGCCUACGUGGGAUUAGCUAGUUGGUGAGGUAAUGGCUCACCAAGGCGACGAUCUCUAGCUGGUUUGAGAGGAUGAUCAGCCACACUGGGACUGAGACACGGCCCAGACUCCUACGGGAGGCAGCAGUGGGGAAUUUUGGACAAUGGGCGCAAGCCUGAUCCAGCCAUUCCGCGUGCAGGACGAAGGCCUUCGGGUUGUAAACUGCUUUUGUACGGAACGAAAAGGCUCUGGUUAAUACCCGGGGCUCAUGACGGUACCGUAAGAAUAAGCACCGGCUAACUACGUGCCAGCAGCCGCCGUAACAC